UGACCAAUGAUUGAACUCUGGAUGUUGGUAGGAUUUGUGCCUGAAAACCCAGGCUCCUUCGGGUUUUUUAAUCAGAUCAUUCAGAUUUCUUCUCCGGCACUGCUCCAUUCAUGAGCCUGGCGGGGGGACCUUCUGUGGUCUGAGGGAGAAGUGGAUCUAAAAACAAACCUGCCUUUCUCCAAAGGAAAGGGAAGCAGAAAGGGAUCUCAAGGAAGGUGAGGAAUCUCCUGGGAUGAAGAAGAAUAGAAGACAAAUUGGGGCGGAGUAGAGGUAGAUUUGGAUAUGGUGGCGGUGAAACCCUCCGAGAUGGACCAGGCUCCUUUUCAACUUGAACUGACAGAGCUCGGCAUAGAAAUCUGGGAAGAAGAGAUUGACGAGGAAACUGUUGUUUUGUACAAAGAACGGGUGACCCCAGAUGACAGUGAGAAACAUCUGUCGGAAGAUGGCCAACAGGUUGGAUCCCGGAGACCAUCAACGUGGGAAGGAGUCGGGCCUGCUCCAUAUGAAGAAGGUUGCGAAGGGCCUGAUGAAACGGCGCUUCAAAAAGUGAUUGAUGCGAAUCAAAAAAAUAGGCCCUCGAAUGGUAUAUGCACAAAGCUCCAGGCAGGAUUUCCCUCAUCGUUUCCAAGAGAGGACCACAGGACGGCAAGAGGGCCAUCCAGUAGAAGAAACGGGCUACUCCAUUCUUUCCAAAGCUCUCUGA